rnacentral:snoRNA from 1 species
UGUCAUCGCAAUGAAGAUGCUAAAGCUCCCUCUUCUGAGAUUUGGAAUUGAGGAAAAUUGCUGGCAGAAUCGAACCAUAAUAUCUUAGCCAUCACUGAGUGA